UACGUAGGUGGCAAGCGUUGUCCGGAAUUAUUGGGCGUAAAGCGCGCGCAGGCGGUCCUUUAAGUCUGAUGUGAAAGCCCACGGCUCAACCGUGGAAGGUCAUUGGAAACUGGGGGACUUGAGUGCAGAAGAGGUUAGUGGAAUUCCAAGUGUAGCGGUGAAAUGCGUAGAGAUUUGGAGGAACACCAGUGGCGAAGGCGACUAACUGGUCUGUAACUGACGCUGAGGCGCGAAAGCGUGGGGAGCAAACAGG
rnacentral:rRNA from 1 species